GCUGGGCGUGGUGGUGCACGCCUGUAAUCCCAUUGGCUUGGGAGGCUGAAGCAGGAGAAUCGCAAGUUUAAAACCAGCCUCAGCAAAAGCAAGGCAGUAAGCAAUUCAGUGAGACCCUGUCUCUA
rnacentral:sRNA from 1 species